AGAGUUUGAUCAUGGCUCAGAAUCAACGCUGGCGGCGCGCUUAACACAUGCAAGUCGAACGAGAAAGGGGAGCAAUCCCUGAGUAAAGUGGCGUACGGGUGAGUAACACGUGGGUAAUCUACCUCCGGGUGGGGAAUAACUCUGGGAAACCGGAGCUAAUACCGCAUAAUGCUGGAAGGCCAAAGGCGCAAGUCGCCUGGAGAGGAGCCCGCGGCUGAUUAGCUAGUUGGUAGGGUAACGGCCUACCAAGGCGACGAUCGGUAGCCGGCCUGAGAGGGCACACGGCCACACUGGCACUGAAACACGGGCCAGACUCCUACGGGAGGCAGCAGUGGGGAAUCUUGCACAAUGGGGGCAACCCUGAUGCAGCGACGCCGCGUGAGCGAUGAAGCCCUUCGGGGUGUAAAGCUCUUUCGGCCAGAACGAUCAUGACGGUACUGGAAGAAGAAGCUGCGGCUAACUACGUGCCAGCCGCCGCGGUAAUAC
rnacentral:rRNA from 1 species